rnacentral:lncRNA from 1 species
CCACAGAUGCCCGCGGGGGGAUGAGCUCACAGACACCCUCAUUGUCAUGGAGGCUGUGGGGUGUGUGGGUGGGGCUGAGGGGCUCCUGCCAUCCCUUUGCUGCUAGCCAGGCCUUGAUGAGGGGAGGGGAGCUGACUUCCUAGAGAUCGCGCCACGUGCCUUCCGCCAUUUGUGAAGAACCCGCCGAUGAAGCCCAGCCUCGGUGGUCAUAAAUUGGUGCCUGGCGAGAUGCCAGCGAUGUCCAACGUGAUCACUCUUCAGGUCCCACCACACCGAUGGACUGCCCCGCAGGACCUCACUGCUGGACUGCACCGCAGGACCGCACCGCCGGACCGCCCCGCUGUCCUGGCAGUGCGGAAUAACAACGUGCACCAUUUAAAUGUAAGGUGACACUGCAGUCAUUACAAGAUGUGAUUGAUCUAGAUUCAUCCAGCUGCUUAGAUUCAUGGGAACUUGUGGGCAGUGAUGGGAAAAGGUGAUGGGAGCCUGCAUCACACCUGGAGCCCAUCGAAUUGACUGAACGGCACUCCGAAGGCAUGAGCACUUCCUUGCAUGGAAAUCAUUCCUCAGUUUCCAAAACAUCCACAUUGGUUUUUCUCUGAACAGUGGGAUUUUAUUUAAUUAUAUUUUAUUGCUCAAUCCUUUUUUUUUUUUUUUUUUUUGAGACAGAGUCUCGCUCUGUCCCCCAGGCUGGAGUGCAGUGGCCGGAUCUCAGCUCACUGCAAGCUCCGCCUCCCAGGUUUGCGCCAUUCUCCCGCCUCAGCCUCCCGAGUAGCUGGGACUACAGGCGCCUGCCACCUCGCCCGGCUAGUUUUUUUUUGUAUUUUUUAGUAGAGACGGGGUUUCACCGUGUUAGCCAGGGUGGUCUCGAUCUCCUGACCCCGUGAUCCACCCGUCUCGGCCUCCCAAAGUGCUGGGAUUACAGGCCUGAGCCACCGCGCCCGGCCUCUCAAUCCUUUUUUUAUUUGUAAGUUUUCUGAAAUGACUAUGUAUUACAUUGGUAAAUCAAAAUAUUAACUAAUCCAACAUAGUCCAAACAGUAAAAAUAUGACCUAAAAUUAUCUCCAGGUAUGAAUGCUUAGCAAAGAGUGUUGUAGGGCUUAGCUCUCUUCUGAGCUAUUUGGUGAACUCUUUCUAGAAGAUGUUCUUCCAAUGAACUUGGGCAAUGGAAGAAAGGAUUCAUAAUCAUAAUGAAGGCCUAGGGCCGGGAGGGCAUCCGGUCAAUAGAAAUUGGCCCUAAACCUUGAAGGUCCAGGUCUGAGGUUGGUCAGUCACUCCUCUCAGGUCAGCCUUGGAGGCAGCUGCCUCGUAUUGGCUUCUUGACUCUUUGUCCUUCCUCUUCUCCAUGUGUUUUGGGUCACAGUUCCUUUCUUCCUAAGUUUCACAAAGUCCUCACUGAGGUCUUCCUCCUGCCAUGUCCUCAGUUACCUCCUGGGCUCAGCCCCACAGGAUGAGCUCCCUCUGUUGCUGCUCCCCUGGGCAGCUGGCAUCUGCAAACACCACAUGGCCUUCCAGUUCUUCUCCCACCCC